CUAGAAAUAACAACAACAAAAACGACAAAUUUUGAGAGGGCGGUUCACAGCCCACACCACACUACCAACCCCUCUCAUUCGUAACGUAAUUUUGGUAAAACUUCCUAAGUGCCUUUGUUGUGUUUUGAUGUUCUGCCGGAGCAACAAAAUAAACAUUUCUUCAAUUUAGCAAGCGAUUUUCCUCUUUUUUAUUUUGUUGUUGUUUCCACUGUCUCCCCAGUUUAUGUAUAUCUGCCUCAACGAUUUAUAAAAAUAAUCAAAUAAAAGAAGACCAGGUUUGAAUAAUGGAGGUUUUGGCUCUUCCCUUGGACAUGGGAUACUUCGAAAAUCGAAUAAAAACGAAAAAAUAAACAAAAAGUUUGUGUGUUUUUUUUUUUGUUGUUUUUAUUCCUGGUCGUAAAUGCGCCUAUGUUGAGCCAAAGCAGAUUCUCCCUGGAGUCCUUUUGAUGACUAAAGAACCGUGUGUGUGUAUGUGCACUGUUCGUGAAUAGUGUAGAGUGCUAUGGAACUCGUUAAAUUAACUUUCAUCAUUCCAGAAAGUUGUUAUUUAUAGCCGCUUUGUUUUGGGCUCCACUUUGGACAAACAAAAAAUAAACAUAAGCAGACAUCAAUGAUGAGAGGUGAAAUGGUGGAAUUUACUAUCCGUUUGGGGGCCAUUAACGUGGCUAUUGGACCAAGAAGAAAAACAAUGGAGGGAAAGUUUUUUUUUGUGUGUGAAUUUUGCUAAUGGAAAGUGUUUAUUUUCAAAACAAAAUAAUUAAGUUUGCUUACGGUCAAGUUAAGUGAAUUCGAAGCAUGCGAAACGAAAAAUGUUCAAGUCUCCAAAGUCGACAACGAAAAUACUAACGAAAAAAAAUAUCAUCGAGUAUUCUGUCAAAGUCAAAAUAAAAAAAUUCAAAAUUAAUUUAAAAUCAACAGAAAAUAAUUUUUAAGGCAAGAAAUAAUUGAAUUAAAAGUGAAAAAAGCGUCAACACUGCUCUUGGAGUCAAGAAAAAUACAAAGGACAGUAAAAAAUCGGCAUAUAAAUACUAAAUAGUGUUUUACGAUUCAAAUGAACAAUGUUUCAUUACUUUGGAAUCUUUAACUAGUUUUCGGAGUUUUUUGAGAUACGUUUAUCAGUUUAUUUAGCGAUCUUGGGAUAUUCAAUAAAAUUUUAGAACUAAUCACAUGGGAUUUCUUUGCAAAUUAAGCAAAGAUCUACAUAAGUAGAGGACAAUCCCGGCACUCUUAUUCGCUGGUCUCAACAUACUACUAACUACUGAAAUCCAAAAGCUAAUAUCCCCCUGCAUUGACAAGAAUAAAUAGUGACAAAUGCUUGGAUGCUUAACGCUCAACAUACAAUUUGGGGUAGUUGCAAUAAUAGUGAAGGGAUAAGUAAAUUUGGCGCUAGUUAAAUAUGGCGUCGGAGUUCUGGGUUAGAUUUCCAGCCUCCACCACCUAAAACAAAGCCUCCAAGAGUAUCAAUGUAUUUAAAAGAUUUAGAUAAAGCUUUAUCUCAAUCUCAUGAUAAUUAACUCUAAGCUUGAGCUCCAAGUAUUGAGAUGGAGCAUUUGCAAUGAAACAAAACUCAAUCUCACUAUCUCAGUCUUUAAAAACCAUUUGUUUUCAAAAUGUUUUCUUCAAGUGCAGGUACUGUCUAUAACAACCCUUCAAAAAUAAAAUGGAUGGC